AUGCCAUUGAUUAAUACUGCAGCCGAUGGUUUCAGAACCCCGGAGGAGUAUCAAGGAGAUAUUCUAAAGGGAGCCUCUCAAGUUUCAAAACCAGAAGUUACUGGAACUCUGGGCUUUCCUCCUUUGAGGCCACUUUUGCUACCAUCCCGGAAUUACUGGCGAGUGAUAUUCAUUGGCGGCCACUUACCAGGAUGCAGGAAGACGUUAGAAAUCCCAGGAUGCUCUGGUGAUCCUUCUGGACUAGAGACCCCCAGAAAACAGGCCAGGAUGCCCGAGUGGGUGAGAGACUGCACAGAGAAGAGACAAGACUGCCACCUCCUCUGCAAACCUCACAGAAAUGACUCCACUGUCAGGAUUUCCUGGAGGGCCACCUUUGCACAUAUGUUUGAGAAGGAAUAAAGAAGUAUGUGUGUACACUGAAACAUCCUGAGGAUUAAUGAGUGUGUGUUUAAAGUCUCACAAAGAGCCCAGAUGAAAGACACUGUACAUAAACAAAGCAUUUGUGUUGUUUAAUCUAACCAUGGCUAAAUGCACAGUAAUAACCACAAGAAAGCAUCUGUCUCCAUGAAGGAACUUGAACUUCAAAGAAAGAGGGACAAGUGCUUAGCAUAACUGACACAUCCCCAAUUUUCCUGUUCCAGAUUCCCUUGGAGGCUAUGAUUUUUUUUUCUUUUAAAACUCCCUGGAGGGCAGUGCCGGUGGCGCAGCGGUUUAGCGCUGCCUGUGGCCCGGGGUGUGAUCCUGGAGACCCAGGAUCGAGUCCCACAUCGGGCUUCCUGCAUGGAGCCUGCUUCUCCCUCUGCCUGUGUCUCUGCCUCUCUCUUCGCUCUCUCUGAAUGAAUGAAUAAAUAAAUCUUAAAAAAAAAAAAAAACCCA
rnacentral:lncRNA from 12 species